rnacentral:tRNA from 1 species
CCGCCUGUAACUCAAUUGGCUAGAGUGCCGAGCUUAUUCCUCGGAGGUUCGGGGUUCGAAUCCCUGCGGGCGGA